UACGGGGGGUGCGAGCGUUGUCCGGAAUCACUGGGCGUAAAGGGCGCGUAGGUGGUCUGAUAAGGGUGUGGUGAAAGCCCGGGGCUUAACCCCGGAUCUGCCGUGCCGACUGUUAGGCUAGAGUGCUGUAGGGGCAGGCGGAAUUCCGGGUGUAGCGGUGGAAUGCGUAGAGAUCCGGAGGAAGACCGGUGGCGAAGGCGGCCUGCUGGGCAGAUACUGACACUGAGGCGCGACAGCGUGGGGAGCAAACAGG
rnacentral:rRNA from 1 species